rnacentral:rRNA from 1 species
AGAGUUUGAUCCUGGCUCAGGACGAACGCUGGCGGCGUGCUUUACACAUGCAAGUCGAACGGAGAAGCACCUUCGGGUGUAGAUCAGUGGCGAACGGGUGAGUAACACGUGGGUAACCUGCCCCUCACUUCGGGAUAACUCCGGGAAACCGGGGCUAAUACUGGAUAUCACCAGACCGGGCAUCCGGACUGGUUGAAAGGGUUUACUGGUGAGGGAUGGACCCGCGGCCUAUCAGCUAGUUGGUGGGGUAAUGGCCUACCAAGGCGACGACGGGUAGCCGGCCUGAGAGGGCGACCGGCCACACUGGGACUGAGACACGGCCCAGACUCCUACGGGAGGCAGCAGUGGGGAAUAUUGCGCAAUGGACGAAAGUCUGACGCAGCAACGCCGCGUGAGGGAACGAAGGCCUUUGGGUUGUAAACCUCUUUCAGCAGGGACGAAGCGAAGGUGACGGUACCUGCAGAAGAAGCACCGGCUAACUACGUGCCAGCAGCCGCGGUAAUACGUAGGGUGCAAGCGUUGUCCGGAUUUAUUGGGCGUAAAGGGCUCGUAGGCGGUCUGUCGCGUCGGAAGUGAAAACCUGGAGCUCAACUCCAGGCCUGCUUUCGAUACGGGCAGACUAGAGUUCGGUAGGGGAGACUGGAAUUCCUGGUGUAGCGGUGGAAUGCGCAGAUAUCAGGAGGAACACCAAUGGCGAAGGCAGGUCUCUGGGCCGACACUGACGCUGAGGAGCGAAAGCGUGGGUAGCAAACAGGAUUAGAUACCCUGGUAGUCCACGCCGUAAACGGUGGGCGCUAGGUGUGGGGAACAAUCUACGUUUUCCGCGCCGCAGCUAACGCAUUAAGCGCCCCGCCUGGGGAGUACGGCCGCAAGGCUAAAACUCAAAGGAAUUGACGGGGGCCUGCACAAGCGGCGGAGCAUGCGGCUUAAUUCGAUGCAACGCGAAGAACCUUACCUAGGCUUGACAUAUGACCAGAGCAUGCAGAGAUGUAUGUGCAUUUAGUUGGGGUCAUACAGGUGGUGCAUGGCUGUCGUCAGCUCGUGUCGUGAGAUGUUGGGUUAAGUCCCGCAACGAGCGCAACCCUCGUCCUAUGUUGCCAGCGGGUAAUGCCGGGGACUCAUAGGAGACCGCCGGGGUCAACUCGGAGGAAGGUGGGGACGACGUCAAGUCAUCAUGCCCCUUAUGUCUAGGGCUGCACGCAUGCUACAAUGGCCGGUACAAAGGGCUGCAAAAUCGUAAGAUUAAGCGAAUCCCAUAAAGCCGGUCUCAGUUCGGAUUGGGGUCUGCAACUCGACCCCAUGAAGUCGGAGUCGCUAGUAAUCGCAGAUCAGCAACGCUGCGGUGAAUACGUUCCCGGGCCUUGUACACACCGCCCGUCACGUCACGAAAGUCGGUAACACCCGAAGCCGGUGGCCUAACCCUUUACUGGGAGGGAGCUGUCGAAGGUGGGACUGGCGAUUGGGACGAAGUCGAAACAAGGUA